rnacentral:rRNA from 1 species
CCUACGGGUGGCAGCAGUCGAGAAUCAUGCACAAUGGGGGAAACCCUGAUGGGGCGACGCCGCGUGGGGGAAUGAAGGUCUCCGGAUUGUAAACCCCUGUCAUGUGGGAGCAAAUUAAAAAGAUAGUACCACAAGAGGAAGAGACGGCUAACUCUGUGCCAGCAGCCGCGGUAAUACAGAGGUCUCAAGCGUUGUUCGGAAUCACUGGGCGUAAAGCGUGCGUAGGCUGUUUCGUAAGUCGUGUGUGAAAGGCGCGGGCUCAACCCGCGGACGGCACAUGAUACUGCGAGACUAGAGUAAUGGAGGGGGAACCGGAAUUCUCGGUGUAGCAGUGAAAUGCGUAGAUAUCGGGAGGAACACUCGUGGCGAAGGCGGGUUCCUGGACAUUAACUGACGCUGAGGCGCGAAGGCCAGGGGAGCGAAAAGGAUUAGAUACCCCUGUAGUC